rnacentral:snoRNA from 1 species
UCGCGAGUGAUGACAAAUUUUUCUCAUAUGUUCGCAGUUGAGAGUUUAGUACAAUCAGAAUAACUCGAUGAAUUAUUCACGUAGCCUUCACUUAGAUGUCUGACGCGGAAA